CCCUUCAACUUCAUGCUCCGACUCUCUGAGCUCUCACAUCUUCGAGAACAACCUCACUCUACCGAUUUGGAAAUCUGCUCAUCCUCUACUGUUCCACAGAUUUAAUUUUCGUAUGAACAACUAUUAGUUUGUUUAUUCCUCAAAAUCAGCCAUCGAAGAGCAGAGAAAAACAACUCCUCUACACACCGCCAUAGCAUCUUACUGAUCGGAGCAAAAAACUUCGGAACCAUUGUGAUACAGAUAGCUUCCAUCAAUAAAAUACCUAACUACUACGUACACAAGUUAAAGGAAUACAACUCAAUAUCUGAGUGUGAAACAUCCCUAUAUGUACAUGCAGACCAAGACUGCUGUCAAUUAAUUCGUCGUCCAUGGUUGAUGCAGACGGGACAGAUAGGUUGGUUGGUUUGGUUCAAGAAAUGCAGCACCUUAAAUCACCAAAAUCUGAUGAUGCAAAUUUGUUUGGAGCAAAGAUUACUGCUGGUGGUUCUGGAUUGACCGUAUGUAUCAUUGGGAGAAAUUGCUCGAGAAGUAGUGAACAACUGUUUGAGGUUUGCUUCAAGCAGAUUCUUUGGAAGGCAAAAAGGGAAGCUUUAACAUGAAGUAACGGCCAUUCAGCAGAGAAAGGUUAGCAAGACACUGCAAGUAGUUGGAAGAAUUGUUCAAACUAAAUAUUGCAAUGUGUAUCAACAGGUAAGUAAAAACAUCACACUUUUAUGUAUUACUUUAUCCUACACUU